rnacentral:ncRNA from 2 species
UAUAGUAUCUCGAGGAAUGGUGGCAUUUCGAUGCCUUGAAAGGGAAGUCCGUUUAAAACUGACGCUGCCCCCGCAACUGUGUAUGUAGACGAAUUAGUAAACCACUGUACUUUUAUAGUAAAAGUAUGGGAAGGACUAUAGUAGGAUGAAACAUGAGCCAGGAGACCUGCCAGACCUUGUAGUUUCUA